CCUACGGGAGGCAGCAGUGAGGAAUCUUGGUCAAUGGGCGCGAGCCUGAACCAGCCAAGUCGCGUGAAGGAUGACUGCCCUACGGGUUGUAAACUCCUUUUAUAACGGAAUACAGUGAGGCACGUGUGCCUCUUUGUAUGUACUUUAUGAAUAAGGAUCGGCUAACUACGUGCCAGCAGCCGCGGUAAUACGGAGGAUCCGAGCGUUAUCCGGAUUUAUUGGGUGUAAAGGGAGCGUAGAUGGGUUGUUAAGUCAGUUGUGAAAGUUUGCGGCUCAACCGUAAACUUGCAAUUGAUACUGGCAGUCUUGAGUACAGUUGAGGUAGGCGGAAUUCGUGGUGUAGCGGUGAAAUGCUUAGAUAUCACGAAGAACUCCGAUUGCGAAGGCAGCUUACUAAACUGCCACUGACAUUGAUGCUCGAAAGUGUGGGUAUCAAACAGGAUUAGAUACCCGAGUAGUC
rnacentral:rRNA from 1 species